AGGGUUUGAUCAUGGCUCAGGACGAACGCUGGCGGCAUGCCUAACACAUGCAAGUCGAACGAGAAAGUUCCUUCGGGAGCGAUUAAAGUGGCGCACGGGUGAGUAACGCGUAGACAAUCUGCCCUUCAGUCUGGGACAACUUUUCGAAAGGAGAGCUAAUACCGGAUAACAAUGCAUGACACAAGUUGUAUAUUUGAAAGCUUUAUGUGCUGAAGGAGGGGUCUGCGUCCCAUUAGCUAGUUGGUAAGGUAAAGGCUUACCAAGGCAACGAUGGGUAGCGGGUUUGAGAGGACGAUCCGCCACACUGGAACUGAGACACGGUCCAGACUCCUACGGGAGGCAGCAGUGGGGAAUAUUGCACAAUGGAGGCAACUCUGAUGCAGCAAUGUCGCGUGAGUGAAGAAGGCCCUUGGGUCGUAAAGCUCUUUUAUGGGGGAAGAUGAUGACGGUACCCCAAGAAUAAGCACCGGCUAACUAUGUGCCAGCAGCCGCGGUAAUACAUAGGGUGCGAGCGUUGUUCGGAAUUACUGGGCGUAAAGGGCGCGCAGGCGGAAUAGUAAGUCGGAGGUGAAAGCCCGGGGCUCAACCCCGGAGGGUCUUUCGAAACUGCUAAUCUAGAGAGGGUCAGGGGCCGGCAGAAUUCCUGGUG
rnacentral:rRNA from 1 species